UCCUCAGUAGCUCAAUGGUAGAGCAGUUGGUUGUUAACUAAUUGGUCGUAGGUUUGAAUCCUACUUGGGGAG